rnacentral:rRNA from 1 species
CAGUGGGGAAUUUUGGACAAUGGGCGCAAGCCUGAUCCAGCCAUGCCGCGUGUGUGAAGAAGGCCUUCGGGUUGUAAAGCCCUUUUGUUGGGAAGGAAANGCAGUCGAUUAAUACUUGGCUGUUUUGACGGUACCNAAAGAAUAAGCACCGGCUAACUNCGUGCCAGCAGCCGCGGUAAUACGAAGGGUGCAAGCGUUAAUCGGAAUUACUGGGCGUAAAGCGUGCGUAGGUGGUUGUUUAAGUCGGAUGUGAAAUCCCCGGGCUCAACCUGGGAACUGCAUUNGAAACUGGCCGGCUAGAGUAUGGUAGAGGGGGAUGGAAUUCCNGGUGUAGCAGUGAAAUGCGUAGAUAUGGGGAGGAACACCCAUGGCGAAGGCAGCCCCCUGGAC